rnacentral:misc_RNA from 1 species
GAUGAAGAACGCAGUGAAAUGCGAUAAGUAGUGUGAAUUGCAGAAUUCAGUGAAUCAUCGAAUCUUUGAACGCACAUUGCGCCCUUUGGUAUUCCAAAGGGCAUGCCUGUUCGAGCAUCAUUUGUACCCUCAAGCUUUGCUUGGUGUUGGGCGUCUUGUCUCUAGCUUUGCUGGAGACUCGCCUUAAAGUAAUUGGCAGCCGGCCUACUGGUUUCGGAGCGCAGCACAAGUCGCACUCUCUAUCAGCAAAGGUCUAGCAUCCAUUAAGCCUUUUUUUCAACUUUUGACCUCGGAUCAGGUAGGGAUACCCGCUGAACUUAAGCAUAUCAAUAAGCGGAGG